GAGCCGGAGCCCUACCUGACGGUGGCGCGGAGUUGAAUACUCCGCGAAGAAGACGGCCACGAAACGCGGUGGGAGGGAGCGGCGGAAGUGGCGUCCGUCCUGACGGGCGCACUAUUCCACCAAGCGCGGGAAACAGGCGGUGGUGCGCAUUGACCGCCCGACUGGGGUGGCGCCGACGGCGAUGGCCAUGGCCUCCCGCGGAAAGCUACUUCCAGCUUUGGAAGAAAGAAAACUCAAAGCGCUCGCACACAUCCGUUUGUCCGGCUCACGGGAGGUUAUCAGCAGUAAGUGGCCAUUAGGAUUAGGAUUAAUUAGAACUCACAAGAGAUCGUGCAUGUUCUUGGCUGACCUCACAGCGUAGCGCCAGGAAGGCUCGCUCUCUUGCUUCCUUUGACUGGCAGCUCUCCUUUUUUUGCUCUGAAGGCGUGGCUUGGGCACUAAACUAGCGCUAGAUUGGUUCCGAGCCAUGUGAAUUGCACCGCUUAAUCGCUGAGUAGGUUCUUUGGGAUAGCGCUAUAAAAAAUGAUUAGGCUUUGCUUCCCUGCUCGAUCGUUGAGCUAACCAAUUUGUUUAUGGCCUCUAGGUACCGAACCGCAUCAACGGCGACUAGGCGCCAUGUGGAUUCACACUGUCUGGUGCCAUGCCUGUAGAUGGAUUGGGCCACUUGGUCAAAGGGAUCCUGGUUUCUCAAUCUCACGUUUUUAAGAUUCCAAUUGAAUGAAUCUCAGUUCGAUGGAGAAUGCUUGGUGAUCCUCGUUGCAGUGUUUUGACUUUUCUUGUCCAUAUAAAUUCUGUUUAGCCGGAGGUAAGGAUUUUUUUUUUGCGAGGGUAAGUUGCCUGAUUUUAGAAUCUGGGUCAAUCAAUUUGGGGGAGAAGGAAGCAAGAGGCGAGGGCCUCGGUUAGAAACGAACCGUAGCCGACGACAAGUCGACCAAGGUAGGUUUGAAGGUUAACAGUUCGAGGUAUACAAUGGUGGAGACAGGGAGACCAGCAUGGGCCCUGGUCCCCCCUAACAAUAUGGAUGUAGUAUUAAUUUGUUGAUGAACAGUGCAAAAAUCAAUGAUUUUCUAUUGUUAAAACCCUAUUUUUUAUUGUCUUGGCCCUUCCCAGCCUGUUUUAACAGCCUUCGGCCCUAGUGAUACAAUUUUCCCGGGUCCGCCACUGGAGGUACAUGCGGAACAUGCUCGUCGUGAAAGUCUGGUGGUGCGUCAAUUUAGAGGGAUGACCGGGGGUGGGCCACACAUAGAUGGGCGGCGAUGAAGGGAGAGCGAGGCAACGAUCUCCGCCAGUCGCCGCUGGGGUCAGAAGUAGGCGGUUUGGCUUAGGUUGCAUCUGCGGAGGUUAGAGAAGAAGAGGAAAU
rnacentral:lncRNA from 1 species